UACGUAGGUGGCAAGCGUUGUCCGGAUUUAUUGGGCGUAAAGCGAGCGCAGGCGGUUCCUUAAGUCUGGUGUGAAAGCCCACGGCUCAACCGUGGAAGGUCAUUGGAAACUGGGGAACUUGAGUGCAGAAGAGGAGAGUGGAAUUCCAUGUGUAGCGGUGAAAUGCGUAGAUAUAUGGAGGAACACCAGUGGCGAAGGCGACUCUCUGGUCUGUAACUGACGCUGAGGCUCGAAAGCGUGGGGAGCAAACAGGAUUAGAUA
rnacentral:rRNA from 1 species